rnacentral:ncRNA from 2 species
AUCGUUCAUUCCUCUCAGAUUUAACAUCUGCAGGAACGGAAGUAGGGAAACCUCCCGAAGGAACGCGCC